GCUGGUGUUUGACCAGGUAAGUACAGCGCUAGUGCUGGUACGCCUUGUAAGCGAAAGGUUAGGGGUUCGAUUCCCCUCGCCGGCUC
rnacentral:tRNA from 1 species